GCAAGUCGAACGGUAACAUUGGUUGCUUGCAACCAGAUGACGAGUGGCGCACGGGUGCGUAACGCGUAUACAAUCUACCUUUUACAGGAGGAUAGCCUUUAGAAAUGAAGAAUAAUACUCCAUAGUAUUUCAAUGUUGCAUGACAAAGAAAUUAAAGUUACGGCGGUAAAAGAUGAGUAUGCGUCCUAUUAGCUAGAUGGUGUGGUAACGGCACACCAUGGCAACGAUAGGUAGGGGCCCUGAGAGGGGGAUC
rnacentral:rRNA from 1 species